CUUCUCUUCUCUAUUCAUUCAGCACAAGCUCGCUGGGGAUUUCACACUUUAUCACCUCGUCUAACGCUCCGCAGAGCACUGGAAAUCGCCGUCUGCAGUAGAGUAAUCCCGUAGUAAUGAGAUUUGAGGUACAUCAAAGUACCGUGCCUUUGAGGGAGGAAAACAGAUCAGAAAAAUAGGACUGAAAUGCAAAUCCUUCACGAAGAUGACCAUGAGUUUUCUACCUCGAGAACACAAUAUGAAAGUGGUGAAUGAGACAGACAGCGAGAAGCUCGUACGAGUGUUUGAGUCCAUGGUUUCAACACCUGGCCCCCACACGCAAACUGUUCUUCAAGCAGAAAUGAAGAAAACUUUCCAGAAUGUACCCCUGCAUGAUAAUCAAAAGAUUGUGAGGAUCAAUGCAGGACAAUUCUUUCACAGCAUGGCCGAAAACAUGAAAUCCAGGACAGCUACAACAACUUCCUCUCAUGUCAGUACACAUGAAAGCUUAUCUCAUAGAGGUGAAAGCAAACUGAUGACAGACUUAAAGGUUCUUCAGCUGGACACUUGGCCUGAGGGAAAUCUGGACAUACAGCAUGCCUCUGCCUCACUAAGCCAAGGAGAUGUGUUGAUGAAAGAUCUACCUGUGGCCAUUCAGUUCAACCCCACAACAUGAUUGUGCCAUUUCUGAAAACCAAUUACUGAAUUCAGUGCCACUUGUCACUACCAAGGCCGCAUUAACCAUUGGGCUAGGAAGGGCUGAAGCCCAGGGGCCUGAGCAAGAAGUAGAUUGACGGACAUCGGUAGUGCCGAUCGCCAAAGCUCCACCACGCUCCUCACUUUUUAGCACUAUUAUUUAGUGAAGUUUUUCCAUAAAUUCCAUGCAUAUCAUCAGAGAUUAAAACGUCACAUUUGAAUUUGGUUUUGAACGACCUGUGCACGUAUCUCCUAUCAGGUAAUCGCUGCGUGUAAUAUCUCUAUUCACCUCUCUUCACUUCUUUCUGGUGUAAUCUAGAAAUGGUCAUGCAAAGAACAAUCUUCGAUAAGUAAAAAUGUCAACUAUUUAAAAAAUAAAUAAAUAGUGAGAGAGGGGAAAGCAUCAGUUAGUCACUAAAAUCCACAGUUUAUUUUACUAAAACUGAUGAUGGAGUGGGAGUUGUGGAACAGCAAAUGGACCGGACAUGUGGAGCAGUUCAAAACAGUGUCAUCGUCCCCACAGAUUUUAGGUUAGUUUGAUUAUUAUCUUGAUGGAUGUAUAUUGCUUUUUGUGUUUGAACAAACUCUAUAGGCUUAGUAGGCUAUAUUCGCUUAUGGGAGAAAUUCCUUUUGCGCAUCAUGAUGUAAGCUUUUCAUUUAAACGCAUUUUAAGCAUUGUGGUUUAAAGACUAAUAUAACUGUUCAGGGACAUUAAGCAGUGGGGCCGAAUUCAUUUUGGAAAAUGCGCG
rnacentral:lncRNA from 1 species